rnacentral:hammerhead_ribozyme from 1 species
AUCUAGCUGACGAGUUCCAAAUAGGACGAAACGUGCAUCAAACUGGAU